CGUAGGGACCGAGCGUUGUCCGGAUUCGAUUGGGCGUAAAGAGCUCGUAGGCGGCCACUCAAGUCGAAUGUGAAACCUCGAGGCUUAACCUCGAGCCUGCAUUCGAUACUGGGCGGCUAGAGUCUGGUAGGGGGAUCUGGAAUUCCUGGUGUAGCGGUGGAAUGCGCAGAUAUCAGGAGGAACACCGGUGGCGAAGGCGGGAUCCUGGGCCAGUACUGACGCUGAGGAGCGAAAGCGUGGGGAGCAAACAGGAUUAGAUACCCUGGUAGUCCACGCCGUAAACGAUGGGCGCUAGGUGUGGGAGGUCAUCGACUCCUUCCGUGCCGCAGCUAACGCAUUAAGCGCCCCGCCUGGGGAGUACGGCCGCAAGGCUA
rnacentral:rRNA from 1 species